rnacentral:rRNA from 1 species
AGCGAACGCUGGCGGCAGGCCUAACACAUGCAAGUCGAACGAACCCUUCGGGGUUAGUGGCGGACGGGUGAGUAACACGUGGGAACGUGCCUUUAGGUUCGGAAUAACUCAGGGAAACUUGUGCUAAUACCGAAUGUGCCCUUCGGGGGAAAGAUUUAUCGCCUUUAGAGCGGCCCGCGUCUGAUUGGCUAGUUGGUGAGGUAAUGGCUCACCAAGGCUACGAUCAGUAGCUGGUCUGAGAGGAUGACCAGCCACAUUGGGACUGAGACACGGCCCAAACUCCUACGGGAGGCAGCAGUGGGGAAUCUUGCGCAAUGGGGGAAAGCCUGACGCAGCCAUGCCGCGUGGAUGAUGAAGGCCUUAGGAUUGUAAAAUCCUUUCACCGGUGAAGAUAAUGACUGUAGCCGGAGAAGAAGCCCCGGCUAACUUCGUGCCAGCCGCCGCGGUAAAAC